AAAAAAUUAAAACAAAUUACUAAAAUAGUAUAUAAUUAUUUAUUGAAACUUAAAUAAUUUGGCGGUAUUUUAGUUCAUUUAGAGGAAUCUGUCUAGUAAUUGAUAAUCCACGAAUAAUUAUAUUUAAUUUAAAAUUUUAUAUAUCGUUGUUAAAAAAAUAUUUUUAAAUAAAAAUAAUAUUUUAAAAUUUAGAAAUAAAAUUAAUUCAGAUCAAGAUGUAGAUAAUAAUUAAAAUAAGGAUGGAUUACAAUAUAUUUAUAUAAAUGGAUAAUAAUUUUGAAAUAAUUAUUUGAAAGUGGAUUUAAAUGUAAUUUUAUUUAAUUUAAUAAAAUGAUUAAAAAUUGAAAUAUGUACAUAUUGCCCGUCACUUUCAUUUAAAAAUUGAAAUAAGUCGUAACAAAGUAGGGGUACUGGAAAGUGUUCCUAGAAAGA
rnacentral:rRNA from 1 species